GGUUGAACGGAUAACUACCGUUUUCAAGAGUACUUGGCUUCUGGGGUGGGAAGCU
rnacentral:ncRNA from 3 species